rnacentral:rRNA from 1 species
GUGGGGAAUCUUAGACAAUGGGGGAAACCCUGAUCUAGCCAUGCCGCGUGAGCGAUGAAGGCCUUAGGGUUGUAAAGCUCUUUCAGCUGGGAAGAUAAUGACUGUACCAGCAGAAGAAGCCCCGGCUAACUCCGUGCCAGCAGCCGCGGUAAUACGGAGGGGGCUAGCGUUGUUCGGAAUUACUGGGCGUAAAGCGCACGUAGGCGGACCGGAAAGUCAGAGGUGAAAUCCCAGGGCUCAACCUUGGAACUGCCUUUGAAACUCCUGGUCUUGAGUGCGAGAGAGGUGAGUGGAAUUCCGAGUGUAGAGGUGAAAUUCGUAGAUAUUCGGAGGAACACCAGUGGCGAAGGCGGCUCACUGGCUCGAUACUGACGCUGAGGUGCGAAAGCGUGGGGAGCAAACAGGAUUAGAUACCCGUGUAGUCC